CAAUCCUGUUCUCAUAUAAGAAAUGCUCGAUGCUGGCUUUAUUAGCAUUAAGAGAUCUACAAUUUAAUUAUUUAGCGUUGUCAACAUAUUAUAUUAGCCAAGCUCAACAUAAGACAAGAAAAGAUUUCUGUACUCGCAUUUCACUACGCAAAAGAUGAACUUGAAUUUGGCGCCAUUGUUGGCAGACCUGCGCCUAGUCGAGUGUCGGUGAAGAAAUUUUAUUCAACGUAAUGGGAAUGUUCUGCCGAACAAAAUCAUCCUACAUUUUAUAGCCAUGCAAGGUACACUGAGUAAGAAUUUUUAGCAAGUAAGUACCUGCUAGUUUUUGAUUGCGAUGGAUAUAAUCCUGAUAAGUAUGAUCAACUAUGCUGUUUUA